CGAAUCGAAAAUCUCUUAACCGUUUCCAAAAAGUUCGAUACAGGACUCGAGAUCCCACAGCCAUAUGCCUUCUUCUAUAAUCCCAAACCAAAGCAUAUUUUAUUAUAUUUAAUUUUAAAUUAGGUCUAAGACUUAUGUGGCGAGUUGGAUUUGUUUGAGAUUUAAUCUCAACCGUUCAUUCAUUACCCUAUCUCUCUCGACCUCAUUCCCACAAUCUCACUAUCUCUCUCUCUCUCUCUCUCUCCCUCGAUCGACUCAUCUUCUUUGUCCACCUAAAAUCGAGGUUUGCUUCACAACACACUCCAAUGGCUUCCUUCAAUGUUCCCUUUCCAAAGGCGUGCUUAGCCCCCGUUACCCGCCUUGGCUCCUCCGCCCAACCGCAGCAGGACCUACUCUCCUUCCACAAUUGCCUCAGUCGCUGCCCCAUUCCAUCUCUGUAGAUUUCUGGUCUUCAGACUCACGGUGCGAACUUGAACAACCUGCGAACAAGGAAGAGCUUUUGAGGAGCACCAUUGUACUGUCGGUCAAAGAUUCCCCGACACUCAAGUUAGUGUCGAUUGGUAUUGUUGAAUGAACUCAGGGAAAGAGUUAUAAAGUUUGUAUCUCAGCUCUAGGGUUUAGAAUGACCGAUGCUUAUAUCCUUUUUGAGGUUUAUCUUGAGAAUCCAUGAGUGGAUAUUACUCUCAAGCCGUGUUGGCUCUUAUCUUUGCUUAGUCUUCAAUUUUGGAUGAGGUGUAGUUCUCGAAUAAGAUAUGAGGAUCACGUUCAUACUAUUCAGACCUGGAUUCUCUUAGUUAGGCUCAAGCUAGGGCUUGGAACCUUCUUUAUAGCUUAUUGGCAGAGUCAUGCUUAUUUAAGAUGAUUAGGGAAUGUCUAUGGUGUUGUAGACAUAUUGAGACCCGGACUUGCAUGUUCUGCUAGAUCUGAAGAUGAUGUUGAUAUCGUCUCCAAGCUCUGAGAUGACACGUGAGAGGUCCAUGCCAUUGCAUGGUCCGACAGCCUCCAACCAUGGGAAUGUGCCAAUAAAUCCUAAACUCUUGAAAUUCUCAUUCAUCUUCUAAAUUUAACUUGCACAUAUUUCUACA